rnacentral:rRNA from 1 species
UGCGUAGGCGGAUUAAUAAGUCAGUGGUGAAAUCUUUCGGCUCAACCGAGAAACUGCCAUUGAUACUGUUAAUCUUGAGUUCGGUUGAGGUAGGCGGAAUGUGUAAUGUAGCGGUGGAAUGCUUAGAUAUUACACAGAACACCAAUUGCGUAGGCAGCUUACUAGACCGACACUGACGCUGAGGCACGAAAGCGUGGGGAGCGAACAGGAUUAGAUACCCUGGUAGUCC